GGUGAGUAACACGUGGAUAACCUACCUAUAAGACUGGGAUAACUUCGGGAAACCGGAGCUAAUACCGGAUAAUAUAUUGAACCGCAUGGUUCAAUAGUGAAAGACGGUUUUGCUGCCACUUAUAGAUGGAUCCGCGCCGCAUUAGCUAGUUGGUAAGGUAACGGCUUACCAAGGCAACGAUGCGUAGCCGACCUGAGAGGGUGAUCGGCCACACUGGAACUGAGACACGGUCCAG
rnacentral:rRNA from 1 species